rnacentral:tRNA from 1 species
UGGCUCAGUUGGUUGAGCAUGGUGCUUGCAAGUUGCCAAAGUUGUGGGUUCGAUUCCCAC